UACAGAGGGGGCUAGCGUUAUUCGGAAUUAUUGGGCGUAAAGGGCGCGUAGGCGGCCAUGCGUGUCUUCCGUGAAAUCCCUCGGCUUAACUGAGGACGUGCGGAAGAAACUGCAAGGCUCGAGUCCGGGAGAGGGGGGUGGAAUUCCCAGUGUAGCGGUGAAAUGCGUAGAUAUUGGGAGGAACACCGGUGGCGAAGGCGGGUCUCUGGGCCGAUACUGACGCUGAGGAGCGAAAGCAUGGGUAGCGAACAGG
rnacentral:rRNA from 1 species